UCUGAAUCCAAUUUUGUCUGCAGUUAUCUCCCACCGCGGUGGAACCACGGCAAACUCCAUUAUCUGAUUGUUCAGCUUCUUUCGCGUGGUUCGCUUGGGAUUUUUUACAAUUGGCCUCUUUUCCAUCAGUUUUGACUCCAAAAGUGCUCCCCUAGCCUUCCCUAUGUAUAUAUAGCAUGCACAUCAAGAAAAACACUAAUAAGAGCAUUUGUUAUCACUUUCAUUAUCAAAACUAUGUAAGAAGAUGGUUAUUUAGGGCCUGAAUAUAGUUAAAUUCACCUAUUAUCAACACCCCACACUUAAAACUUUGUUCGUCCUCGAGCAAACUAAACCACACUUCUAGGACUAACUGUUUGCUGCAUUGCCCAAAGAUAUGUCACACCCGCCAUUUUGACAAACCAACCUAAGCAGUGCAACAAUCCUACCCCUGAUGCAGACUCUACUGUCAUGACACACUCUAGCUCACUCUAGUUACUCUAAUUGCAGUGAAGACUUACUUUUCCGUCCUGAGUCACAUGCCCUCACAUCGAAAGUCUGAGAGAAGUUUCACACACAUAAAAAAAUUCUACACAAGGAACCAAAAAUAGAAAAAAUUCACUCACUUUCAGCAAAGAGCAUUCAUAUGCCACACAAACACACCAUAAGCUUGCCCCUAGUGUAGUACUCUACUAAUCGAACUGUUUGAGUCAAAGAUCAAAAGGACUUAUUUGGUUGUAAUGCAGGCUAAGGGACGGGUAGGAUACAUUUAGAUGUAGUGGUUGACCUCCCUAAGCAUUUUUAAUACAUACUCAUUUUCCAUGCUCAACCGAAUCAUUCCUCCAUAUUUUUGUUCCACAUGUAACCCCCACGUUCUUUAUGUGCAACUAGCUUCUUGUUUUCUCUUUUUUUCUUUGUUUCACCUUUUUUACAAAACUCGUGCAGUAAUCAUUAUUCAUUCAAGAUUUCGCUUCUUUUGCUAACUCCCUACCACCCCACACUUUGGCUUUUGUAUGUUCUUUAGUGAUUCAAGUGCUUCUAGAAGGUAUAGGUUCAAAUAAUUAGCUAUUCAAACACAAGGAUAUAGUUCAUUAUAGGGUUAUCAAAGAACAGACUUCAGGCUCAAAGGAGUUAACUAAUGGCAACAUAUACAGGUAGAUUCACAAUUAAACAGCCUUACACAAGGAAAUCAUCUCUAAGACCUAACAUCUUUAUUUCGCUUUGCAAACACACAGGGCAAGUUCUAGGUAUCACAUGCAAGCACAGAAUGCAAGUAAAGAUCUCACACACACUUGGCAUGUAACUCACUCAGAAUCAUCUUAUCAACGCACACAUACGAGCAUUCAAGCAAGAAAAGAUGUGCAAAAUUAAGGCAUAGAUUUACAAGUCCACAACUGAGCCAAGACCUCACACUCUCAAGUUCAUUUUAGUUGUUU
rnacentral:lncRNA from 1 species